UUUUCAUCAUUCUCUUUUAUAUUAUUUAUACAAUAAAUUGUAUUUCAUCUAUGUUUUAAAAUUUUUAUUUUGUAAUAAUUAUUGUUUUCAAAAAUUAAAAUUGUUAAUUUUUUUAACUUUUUUUUUAUUUUAAUCCUAAGAUCCACUAUUUAAGAACCCACCCAUAAUCCUACAUAAAAACAAUAAAACUUAAUUACACUUCUUAGCAUCACUUUUUCAAUUAAAUUACUAAACAAAUCAUAAGAUUCAUUUUUAAUGGCCUAGCAUUGAGGAUGCUCU
rnacentral:lncRNA from 1 species